rnacentral:rRNA from 1 species
CCUACGGGUGGCAGCAGUAGGGAAUCUUUCACAAUGGGCGAAAGCCUGAUGGAGCAACGCCGCGUGCAGGAUGAAGGCCUUCGGGUUGUAAACUGCUUUUAUAAGCGAGAAAUAUGAUGGUAACUUAUGAAUAAGGAUCGGCUAACUACGUGCCAGCAGCCGCGGUCAUACGUAGGAUCCGAGCAUUAUCCGGAGUGACUGGGUGUAAAGAGUUGCGUAGGUGGCAUAAUAAGUAGCUAGUGCAAUCUGGUGGCUCAACCAUUCAGACUAUUAGCUAAACUGUUAAGCUCGAGACCGUUAGGGGUAACUGGAAUUUCUAGUGUAGGAGUGAAAUGCGUAGAUAUUAGAAGGAACACCGAUAGCGAAGGCAGGAUACUGGGACGGUUCUGACACUAAGGCACGAAAGCGUAGGGAGCAAACGGGAUUAGAUACCCCGGUAGUC